rnacentral:rRNA from 1 species
CUCUGAGACAGGUGCUGCAUGGCUGUCGUCAGCUCGUGUUGUGAAAUGUUGGGUUAAGUCCCGCAACGAGCGCAACCCUUAUCCUUGUUUGCCAGCGAGUAAUGUCGGGAACUCCAGGGAGACUGCCGGUGAUAAACCGGAGGAAGGUGGGGACGACGUCAAGUCAUCAUGGCCCUUACGAGUAGGGCUACACACGUGCUACAAUGGCGCAUACAGAGGGCAGCAAGCUAGCGAUAGUGAGCGAAUCCCAA